UCUUAAUUAAUAUAUAUAGUAUAUUUGAUUUCCAAUCAAAAAGGUCACUAAAAGUGAAUUAAGUAU
rnacentral:tRNA from 1 species